rnacentral:rRNA from 1 species
AUUGAACGCUGGCGGCAGGCCUAACACAUGCAAGUCGAACGAGUGGCGGACGGGUGAGUGAUGUCUGGGAAAAUGCCUGAUGGAGGGGGAUAACUACUGGAAACGGUAGCUACUACCGCAUACCAUCAGAUGUGCCCAGAUGGGAUUAGCUAGUUGGUGGGGUAACGGCUCACCAAGGCGACGAUCCCUAGCUGUUCUGAGAGGAUGACCAGCCACACUGGAACUGAGACACGGGCCAGACUCUUACGGUAGGCAGCAGUGGGGAAUAUGGCACAAUGGGCGCAAGCCUGAGGCAGCCAUGCCGCGUGUAUGAAGAAGGCCUUCGGGUUGUAAAGUACUUUCAGCGGGGAGGCGUUACCCGCAGAAGAAGCACCGGCUAACUCCGUGCCAGCAGCCGCGGUAAUAC